UACGUAGGGUGCGAGCGUUGUCCGGGAUUAUUGGGCGUAAAGAGCUCGUAGGCGGCCUGUCGCGUCGGAUGUGAAAGCCCGGGGCUUAACCCCGGGUCUGCAUUCGAUACGGGCAGGCUAGAGUGUGGUAGGGGAGAUCGGAAUUCCUGGUGUAGCGGUGAAAUGCGCAGAUAUCAGGAGGAACACCGGUGGCGAAGGCGGAUCUCUGGGCCAUUACUGACGCUGAGGAGCGAAAGCGUGGGGAGCGAACAGG
rnacentral:rRNA from 1 species